CGGGUGAGUAAUGCUUGGGAAUCCGCCCAGUAAUGGGGGACAACACGGGGAAACUCGUGCUAAUACCGCAUACGUCCUACGGGAGAAAGUGGGGGAUCUUCGGACCUCACGCUAUUGGAUGAGCCCAAGUCGGAUUAGCUUGUUGGUGAGGUAACGGCUCACCAAGGCGACGAUCCGUAGCUGGUCUGAGAGGACGAUCAGCCACACUGGGACUGAGACACGGCCCAGACUCCUACGGGAGGCAGCAGUGGGGAAUAUUUGGACAAUGGGGGCGUACCCUGAUCCAGCAAUGCCGCGUGUGUGAAGAAGGCCUGCGGGUUUGUAAAGCACUUUUCAGUAGAGAAGAAAAAGCUUAGGGUUAAUAACCCCUGAGUCUUUGACGUUACCCUACAGAAGAGAGCACCGGCUAACUCCCGUGCC
rnacentral:rRNA from 1 species